AAGGAAGAGAAAGAAAUUCGAUUCCGUAAGUAGCGGCGAGCGAACGCGGAUUAGCCCAAACCAAUAAAGUUUUCUUUAUUGGGGUUGCGGACAUAUCAUAACAAAGAGGUAUCGUAAUUGAAGAGGUUUGGAAAGACCCACCACAGAAGGUAAUAGUCCUGUAUGUUAAACGAGAAGACUUUAGAUAUGAUCCAGAGUACCACGG
rnacentral:rRNA from 1 species